rnacentral:rRNA from 1 species
ACUUUGGUUGGUCGCCGGCUUCUUAGAGAGACUAUCAACUCAAGUUGAUGGAAGUUUGAGGCAAUAACAGGUCUGUGAUGCCCUUAGAUGUUCUGGGCCGCACGCGCGCUACACUGACAGAGCCAACGAGUUCUUCACCUUGUUCGAAAGAAUUGGGUAAUCUUGUUAAACUCUGUCGUGCUGGGGAUAAAGCAUUGCAAUUAUUGCUUUUCAACGAGGAAUGCCUAGUAAGCGCGUGUCAUCAGCAUGCGUUGAUUACGUCCCUGACCUUUGUACACACCGCCCGUCGCU